AGCAGUCGCCACGGUAAUACGGGGGAUGCAAGCGUUAUCCGGAAUUAUUGGGUUUAAAGGGUGCGUAGGCUGUGCGAUGCGUCUGUGGUUAAAGGCCUCUGCUUAACGGAGCGUAUGCCAUAGAAACGGCCGUGCUUGAGAGUGAUUGCCGUGGGAAGAAUGUGUGGUGUAGCGGUGAAAUGCAUAGAUAUCACACAGAACACCGAUUGCGAAGGCAUCUCACGAAGUCAUAUCUGACGCUGAAGCACGAAAGCGUGGGAAUCAAACAGGAUUAGAUACCCGCGUAGUCCCUGUCUCUUAUAC
rnacentral:rRNA from 1 species